rnacentral:rRNA from 1 species
GUCUACGGCCAUACCAUCCUGAACACGCCUGAUCUCAUCUGAUCUCGGAAGCUAAGCAGGGUCGGGCCUGGUUAGUACUUGGAUGGGAGAAAUCUCAUGUCCUGGGAGUCGGGCUGUAGCUC